rnacentral:rRNA from 1 species
GAUGAACGCUGGCGGCGUGCCUAAUACAUGCAAGUCGAGCGAACAGACGAGGAGCUUGCUCCUCUGACGUUAGCGGCGGACGGGUGAGUAACACGUGGAUAACCUACCUAUAAGACUGGGAUAACUUCGGGAAACCGGAGCUAAUACCGGAUAAUAUAUUGAACCGCAUGGUUCAAUAGUGAAUGACGGUUUUGCUGUCACUUAUAGAUGGAUCCGCGCCGCAUUAGCUAGUUGGUAAGGUAACGGCUUACCAAGGCAACGAUGCGUAGCCGACCUGAGAGGGUGAUCGGCCACACUGGAACUGAGACACGGUCCAGACUCCUACGGGAGGCAGCAGUAGGGAAUCUUCCGCAAAGGGCGAAAGCUUGACGGAGCAACGCCGCGUGAGUGAUGAAGGUCUUCGGAUCGUAAAACUCUGUUAUUAGGGAAGAACAAAUGUGUAAGUAACUAUGCACGUCUUGACGGUACCUAAUCAGAAAGCCACGGCUAACUACGUG